rnacentral:tRNA from 1 species
UGGGUUGUGGCUCAAUGGUAGAGCACUUGUCUAGCAUGUGUGAUGCCCUGGGUUCCAUUCUCAGCACCAA